rnacentral:rRNA from 1 species
CGUGUAGGUGGAACGGAAAGCGAGAUGUGAAAGCCCUUGGCUCAACCAAGGAAGAGCAUUUCGAACUGCUGGUCUUGAGUACGGGAGAGGGAGGUAGAAUUCCGGGUGUAGAGGUGAAAUUCGUAGAUAUCUGGAGGAAUACCGGUGGCGAAGGCGGCCUCCUGGACCGAUACUGACACUGAAACGCGAAAGCGUGGGGAGCAAACA